GUUCAAUAUAUAAUGAUAAUUUUCAAAAUGGUUUAGGUUUUUGCUGGGGCAGCCCUUGGUCUUGUUCUUGGUGUGAGUUGGUUCUGGAUUGUGAAUAAUAUGCUCAUAGAUUACUUCCCAGCAAUUGAGGAAAGUACAAUUGGGAGAUUCCUUUACAUCAGGGACUCCUCACAUAUACCUAAUGUUCUCAAAUUCGAGUACGACAAUGCUAGAGCUGCUCGGAAGAAAUCAACCGAUUGAAGCGGCUUCUUGUGUCGUUAACCAAAUAUGCUAGUUUCAAGAAAGGUGAUCGUGAUCAUAUACGUCUUGUGCACAUCCACCUAGUUCUUAUGUGAAUCAAGUUGUACGUGAAAUUGUAUCCAUCAUGGCAAGAGGAAGAUACGGUAGUAGUUGCUUUUUUACUUUGGUCAACUGGAUACAUAUGGCUUAACCCACCCUUGAUUCUUGUAGUACCUAGGUUACUUUGUUAUGUGAAUGUGCAGUGAACCACGAUAUUGUUAUUGUAGAUCUUAUUUCAUGUUUUAUUGCUUCUAUCAAAUUGAAUAGUCCUGUGUAGGACAAAAGUGAUCUCAGAAAGUGUUCAAUGUCAGCAACUAAUUAGUUUUCCUUUUAUCUUUA